rnacentral:rRNA from 1 species
AACGUAGGUGGCAAGCGUUAUCCGGAAUUAUUGGGCGUAAAGCGCGCGCAGGCGGUUUCUUAAGUCUGAUGUGAAAGCCCACGGCUCAACCGUGGAGGGUCAUUGGAAACUGGGGAACUUGAGUGCAGAAGAGAAAAGCGGGAUUCCACGUGUAGCGGUGAAAUGCGUAGAGAUGUGGAGGAACACCAGUGGCGAAGGCGGCUUUUUGGUCUGUAACUGACGCUGAGGCGCGAAAGCGUGGGGAGCAAACAGG